AUGGCAGACGUGUUUCUUGCCGCCGCUGCUGCUCCUCUCCCUCGCCUCCUCUGCGACGCUUCCUCCUCUUCUCUUCUCCCGCUCCAGUCAUGGCGGUGGCGGCCGGGCCAGGCAGGGCGGCGGCGGCCGGGAACGGAGAAGCGGCCGGGCUGGGAGAGCGUCCUCGUCGCCUUCAACCUCCCCACGCGAGGUCCUGAUUUUUUUUUAUUUAAUCCCCACAGAUACUCAUUUCUGUUUCUUCAGAUGCUAUUUUAUAUUUUGCCUACUCCAACGUGGCUGCAGGAUGACAUUAGUCUGCAAUUGUACUCAAUGAACGAUAGCAGUUUUGUUUGCAAAUAG
rnacentral:rRNA from 1 species